rnacentral:lncRNA from 10 species
AAGUUUUUUGUUUUUUUUUUUGAGACAGGGUCUCACUCUGUCUCCCAGGCUGCAGUGCAGCAAUGCAAUCACAGCUCACCGCAGCCUACCUGUCAGGCUCAAGCGAUCCUCCCACCUUAGCACAUGCCACCACACCCAGCUAAUUUUAUUAUUAUUAUUUUUUGUAGAGACAGGGUCUAUGUUGCCCACAGUGGUCUCUAACAACUGGGCUCAAGCAAUCCUCCUGCCUUGGCCUCCCAAAGUGCUGGGAUUACAGGCAUAAGCCACUGGGGGCAGUGUACACCGGCUUCAGUGUUCCAGGUCCUCACUGGGACAACCUUUCCACAGACUCGCCCACCAGAGCUGGUUCUCGCAACCCCAAAGCUGAGAGGGUGGUGUAGCUCAGUGGUUUUACAUUCAGAGCAUGGAAUCGGAUACACAAGCAUGAGCCCCAGUUCAUUGGCUUCCUAGCCGUGUGACUCUGGACAAGGGUUUUACCCUCUCGGAGUUUCUGUUUUCUCAUGGGGAUAGUGGGAACACUUAUUUCAUUGUGUGAGCAUGCUUGGUUUCAGAGCAGGCACUCCACCAACCUGUGCUGCUAGAAGUAGCUAUUUAGGGCUGGUCCUUUGCCCAAACCCAGAGACCAGCUCUCCUAUCUGUGUAAAUAGGCCCCAAAGAGAGUGGCCCAAGACACUGGAGAAACCCCUCCACUGGCUCUUCAGAAUCAAGUGGGGUGCCACCUCUGCCUCUUCCCAGCACCUCAAUCUCUCAGCCUCCAUUGCCUCAGUUCUGAAAGGAGCCUAAGUCCCCUGUCUACCCACUGUGCAGGGCCUGGCCUUGGGGGUGGCUGGAUGUGACUCUUCCUCCCAGGCGCACGCUCACCCUGGGGAUCAGCCCCGCCUCCUGCUUCAGCAGCUGGCUCAGCCGGGUGGUCUUCUUGGAGAGGGUGUGUGUGUUGAUGCGGGCCAGCCGCUCCCGGAGGGUCAGCUGCUCUACCUUGGUGUACUUGGAGGCUGCAACGACAGAGAAGAGGGGAAGCACGGUGAUCAAGCCAACUCAGGAAAGUGGAUGUCACGGACAUGCCCGGCUGGGCACCUGCUUGGGCCCUCUGCUCCAUCAGGGUCACAUUCAUGAGGUUAGUGAGUCACACAGGAAAAGCAUAGGGUCCUCUGUCUGAGGUGUGAGCCCUGGCUGAAGAGCUUCCUGCCUGCUUGACUUUGGGAAGUCACCACUCCUUGGGGCCUCAGUUUCCUCAUCUGUAAAAUGGGACCAGCCACCUCGCAGGAUUGCUGGGAGAGUCACCUAAGACAGAGGGUCUGAAUGAACUUCCUAAAGAAGAACCCAUGGAGGAGAGAUUUGCCUGGGGUCCCUCAGCCACUUUGAGCCAGGCCAGCUGGGAGCCACGCUUCCCGGUCCUGACUCAGUGCUUCCUACUGAUCUGUCGUAGGAUGGAGAAGCAGGUGGGGAGGAAAUCCAAAGCUGCUAAAUAUAGUAUAGCAUGGUGGUGAAGACUCCAGGCCUGAGUUUGAAACCUGGCUCUGUCCCUUACCAGUUCUGCGACAGGAAGCAAGUGAUGCAUGCUCUCAUUUUACCUGACUGUGAAAUGGGGCUAACAGGGCCAACCUCAGAGGGUUAGUGCAA